UACAGAGGUCCCAAGCGUUGUUCGGAUUCAUUGGGCGUAAAGGGUGCGUAGGCGGCGCGGUAAGUCGGGUGUGAAAUCUCGGGGCUUAACUCCGAAACUGCAUUCGAUACUGCCGUGCUUGAGGACUGGAGAGGAGACUGGAAUUUACGGUGUAGCGGUGAAAUGCGCAGAUAUCGGGAAGAACACCCGUGGCGAAGGCGGUUCUCUGGGACGGUACUGACGCUGAGACGCGAAAGCGUGGGGAGCGAACAGGG
rnacentral:rRNA from 1 species